UACGUAGGGGGCGAGCGUUAUCCGGAUUCAUUGGGCGUAAAGCGCGCGUAGGUGGCCGCCUAAGCGGAACCUCUAACCCCGGGGUUCAACCUCGGGCCGGGUUCCGGACUGGGCGGCUCGAGUGCGGUAGAGGAGAGCGGAAUUCCCGGUGUAGCGGUGGAAUGCGCAGAUAUCGGGAAGAACACCGAUGGCGAAGGCAGCUCUCUGGGCCGUCACUGACGCUGAGGCGCGAAAGCUGGGGGAGCGAACAGG
rnacentral:rRNA from 1 species